CCGACACAGGUAGUCAAGAUGAGAAUUCUAAGGUGAGCGAGCGAACUCUCGUUAAGGAACUCGGCAAAAUGACCCCGUAACUUCGGGAGAAGGGGUGCUCUUUAGGGUUAACGCCCAGAAGAGCCGCAGUGAAUAGGCCCAAGCGACUGUUUAUCAAAAACACAGGUCUCUGCUAAACCGUAAGGUGAUGUAUAGGGGCUGACGCCUGCCCGGUGCUGGAAGGUUAAGAGGAGUGGUUAGCUUCUGCGAAGCUACGAAUCGAAGCCCCAGUAAACGGCGGCCGUAACUAUAACGGUCCUAAGGUAGCGAAAUUCCUUGUCGGGUAAGUUCCGACCCGCACGAAAGGCGUAACGAUUUGGGCACUGUCUCAACGAGAGACUCGGUGAAAUCAUAGUACCUGUGAAGAUGCAGGUUACCCGCGACAGGACGGAAAGACCCCGUGGAGCUUUACUGUAGCCUGAUAUUGAAAUUCGGCACAGCUUGUACAGGAUAGGUAGGAGCCUUUGAAACGUGAGCGCUAGCUUACGUGGAGGCGCUGGUGGGAUACUACCCUAGCUGUGUUGGCUUUCUAACCCGCACCACUUAUCGUGGUGGGAGACAGUGUCAGGCGGGCAGUUUGACUGGGGCGGUCGCCUCCUAAAAGGUAACGGAGGCGCUCAAAGGUUCCCUCAGAAUGGUUGGAAAUCAUUCAUAGAGUGUAAAGGCAUAAGGGAGCUUGACUGCGAGACCUACAAGUCGAGCAGGGUCGAAAGACGGACUUAGUGAUCCGGUGGUUCCGCAUGGAAGGGCCAUCGCUCAACGGAUAAAAGCUACCCCGGGGAUAACAGGCUUAUCUCCCCCAAGAGUUCACAUCGACGGGGAGGUUUGGCACCUCGAUGUCGGCUCAUCGCAUCCUGGGGCUGUAGUCGGUCCCAAGGGUUGGGCUGUUCGCCCAUUAAAGCGGUACGCGAGCUGGGUUCAGAACGUCGUGAGACAGUUCGGUCCCUAUCCGUCGUGGGCGUAGGAAAUUUGAGAGGAGCUGUCCUUAGUACGAGAGGACCGGGAUGGACAUACCUCUGGUGUACCAGUUGUCGUGCCAACGGCAUAGCUGGGUAGCUAUGUGUGGACGGGAUAAGUGCUGAAAGCAUCUAAGCAUGAAGCCCCCCUCAAGAUGAGAUUUCCCAACUUCGGUUAUAAGAUCCCUCAAAGAUGAUGAGGUUAAUAGGUUCGAGGUGGAAGCAUGGUGACAUGUGGAGCUGACGAAUACUAAUCGAUCGAAGACUUAAUCAAAA
rnacentral:rRNA from 1 species